rnacentral:rRNA from 1 species
UACAGAGGGGGCAAGCGUUGUUCGGAAUUACUGGGCGUAAAGGGCGCGUAGGCGGCCCGCUAAGUCGAACGUGAAAUCCCCGGGCUUAACCCGGGAACUGCGUCCGAUACUGGCAGGCUUGAAUCCGGGAGAGGGAUGUGGAAUUCCUGGUGUAGCGGUGAAAUGCGCAGAUAUCAGGAGGAACACCGAUUACGAAGGCAGCUCGCUGGGACGUUACUGACGCUGAGACGCGAAAGCGUGGGGAGCAAACAGG